rnacentral:rRNA from 1 species
UACGGCUAUAUGACGUUGAAACAUCGGUUCUCGUGUGAUCACCGUAGUUAAGCAACGUCGAGCCUGGUCAGUAAAUAGAUGGGUGACCGCUUGGAAAUAUCAGGUGCUGUAAG